UAAUUGGCGGUCAUGCUUACCAUGCAGUCGAACGGCAGCACGGGUGCUUGCACCUGGUGGCGAGUGGCGAACGGGUGAGUAAUACAUCGGAACAUGUCCUGUAGUGGGGGAUAGCCCGGCGAAAGCCGGAUUAAUACCGCAUACGAUCUACGGAUGAAAGCGGGGGACCUUCGGGCCUCGCGCUAUAGGGUUGGCCGAUGGCUGAUUAGCUAGUUGGUGGGGUAAAGGCCUACCAAGGCGACGAUCAGUAGCUGGUCUGAGAGGACGACCAGCCACACUGGGACUGAGACACGGCCCAGACUCCUACGGGAGGCAGCAGUGGGGAAUUUUGGACAAUGGGCGAAAGCCUGAUCCAGCAAUGCCGCGUGUGUGAAGAAGGCCUUCGGGUUGUAAAGCACUUUUGUCCGGAAAGAAAUCCUUGGCUCUAAUACAGUCGGGGGAUGACGGUACCGGAAGAAUAAGCACCGGCUAACUACGUGCCAGCAGCGG
rnacentral:rRNA from 1 species